AUUGAACGCUGGCGGCAGGCCUAACACAUGCAAGUCGAACGAGUGGCGGACGGGUGAGUUAUGUCUGGGAAACUGCCUGAUGGAGGGGGAUAACUACUGGAAAAGGUAGCUAAUACCGCAUAACAUAGGAUGUGCCCAGCUGGGAUUAGCUAGUAGGUGGGGUAAUGGAUCAGCUAGGCGACGAUCCCUAGCUGGUCUGAGAGGAUGACCAGCCACACUGGAACGGAGACACGGUCCAGACUCCUACGGGAGGCAGCAGUGGGGAAUAUGGCACAAUGGGCGCAAGCCUGAUGCAGCCAUGCCGCGUGUGUGAAGAAGGCCGUCGGGUUGUAAAGCACUUUCAGCGGGGAGGCGUUACCCGCAGAAGAAGCACCGGCUAACUCCGUGCCAGCAGCCGCGGUAAUUC
rnacentral:rRNA from 1 species